GUACAUAAGUGCUUGCGCACGACAAUAAUUUCAUUACAUUCGAGUGGGUGUAAAAAUCCUCUGCCGGCCGAAGCUAGCAAGAGGCCAAAGGUGCACAGGGUAUUGGAUGAAAGUCACCGACGUGCACUUGCCGAAGCCGGCCAGCACUGAAGGUAACGAUUCGCAAUCAAUAAUGAUCCUUCCGCAGGUUCACCUACGGAAA
rnacentral:misc_RNA from 1 species